rnacentral:rRNA from 1 species
CGCGUGAGCAAUCUGCCUUUAAGAGGGGGGUAACAGUCGGAAACGGCUGCUAAUACCGCAUAAAGCAUUGAAACCGCAUGAUUUUGAUGCCAAAGGAGCAAUCCGCUUUUAGAUGAGCUCGCGUCUGAUUAGCUAGUUGGCGGGGUAACGGCCCACCAAGGCGACGAUCAGUAGCCGGACUGAGAGGUUGAACGGCCACAUUGGGACUGAGACACGGCCCAG